UACGUAGGGGGCUAGCGUUGUCCGGAAUCAUUGGGCGUAAAGCGCGUGUAGGCGGCCCGGUAAGUCCGCUGUGAAAGUCGGGGCUCAACCCUCGGAAGCCGGUGGAUACUGUCGGGCUCGAGUACGGAAGAGGAGAGUGGAAUUCCUGGUGUAGCGGUGAAAUGCGCAGAUAUCAGGAAGAACACCCGUGGCGAAGGCGGCUCUCGUGGGACGG
rnacentral:rRNA from 1 species